CAGUAGCCGCGGGAAUACGUAGGUGGCAAGCGUUGUCCGGAAUUAUUGGGCGUAAAGGGCUCGCAGGCGGUUUGCACAGUCGGGUGUGAAAUUCCUGGGCUUAACCUGGGGGCUGCAUUCGAGACGUGUAGGCUUGAGUGGGGAAGAGGGUCGUGGAAUUCCCAGUGUAGAGGUGAAAUUCGUAGAUAUUGGGAAGAACACCGGUGGCGAAGGCGGCGACCUGGUCCUUUACUGACGCUGAGGCGCGAAAGCGUGGGGAGCAAACAGGAUUAGAUACCCCCGUAGUCCCUGUCUCUUAUAC
rnacentral:rRNA from 1 species